AGGACGAACGCUGGCGGCGUGCUUAACACAUGCAAGUCGAACGGAAAGGCCCGCUUGCGGGUACUCGAGUGGCGAACGGGUGAGUAACACGUGGGCAACCUGCCCUCAGCUUCGGGAUAACACUUGGAAACAGGUGCUAAUACCGGAUAAUAACCUUUCAUCGCAUGGUGGUUGGUUCAAAGUUUUUCGGCUGAGGAUGGGCCCGCGGCCUAUCAGCUUGUUGGUGGGGUAAUGGCCUACCAAGGCGACGACGGGUAGCCGGCCUGAGAGGGCGACCGGCCACGACCGUGGGACUGAGACACGGCCCAGACUCCUACGGGAGGCAGCAGUGGGGAAUAUUGGACAAUGGGCGCAAGCCUGAUCCAGCAAUGCCGCGUGUGUGAAGAAGGCCCUCGGGUUGUAAAGCACUUUUAUCAGGAACGAAAUACCACGGGUUAAUACCCUAUGGGCUGACGGUACCUGAGGAAUAAGCACCGGCUAACUUCGUGCCAGCAGCCGC
rnacentral:rRNA from 1 species